rnacentral:rRNA from 1 species
AGGAUUCCCUCAGUAGCGGCGAGCGAACAGGGAGAAGCCCAGCACCGAAUCCCGCGAUCGUUUACGGUCGCUGGGAAAUGUGGUGUUAAGAAGGAUCCGUCAUCUCGAUGGUCGGUAGCGCGUCCAAGUCCAUCUUGAACGGGGCCACUACCCAUAGAGGGUGCCAGGCCCGUAGCGACCGUCGCCGCUUUCGAGAGGAUCCCUUCUGAGAGUCGGGUUGCUUGAGAAUGCAGCCCUAAGUGGGUGGUAAACUCCAUCUAAGGCUAAAUAUAACCACGAGACCGAUAGCGAACAAGUACCGUGAGGGAAAGUUGAAAAGAACUUUGAAGAGAGAGUUCAAGAGUACGUGAAACCGUUCAGGGGUAAACCUGAGAAACCCGAAAGUUCGAAAGGGAAGAUUCAUUCGCGACCCGAGGCUUCGGCUUUGCGUGUCUGUGCGACGGUGGCGUUCGCGUCAUCCGUGCCUCUCACGCUUCGAUCCGAUUUCGGACGCGUGCACUUCUUCCCUAGUAGGACGUCGCGAUCCGUUGAGUGUCGAUCUACGGGCGUAGUGUAGCCCGCGAUAGCGGUUUACCGUCUAUUGCGGACACGCGGCUCCCGAUCGGCUCGCUCGACGGUGUACAGAUGGCGGGAGGCCGCGACUUUAGUUCGCGUCCGGCCCGCGGUGAGCUCGUUUGCUAAGUCGGUGAUGGGACUACGUCCCGAUUCACCGCUGGCGACUUCUCGCUGCGGUGUUCUCGGUCCGACCUCUAUGAAACGUCAAUCUGCGACGCUAUUGCUUUGGGUACUUUCAGGACCCGUCUUGAAACACGGACCAAGGAGUCUAGCGUGUGCGCGAGUCAUUGGGACAUAACUAAACCCACAGGCGUAAUGAAAGUAAAUGUUCGUCUUGCGCGAACAUUGGGAAGAUGAUCGUCCCACAGAGGUCGGUUCGCAUUCCCGGGGCGUCUCGUUCUCAUUGCGAGAAGAGGCGCACCAUGAGCGCACACGCUGGGACCCGAAAGAUGGUGAACUAUGCCUGGUCAGGACGAAGUCAGGGGAAACCCUGAUGGAGGUCCGUAGCGAUUCUGACGUGCAAAUCGAUCGUCGGAACUGGGUAUAGGGGCGAAAGACUAAUCGAACCAUCUAGUAGCUGGUUCCCUCCGAAGUUUCCCUCAGGAUAGCUGGCGCUCAUUGCGUACGAGUCUCAUCCGGUAAAGCGAAUGAUUAGAGGCAUUGGGGUCGAAACGACCUCAACCUAUUCUCAAACUUUAAAUGGGUGAGAGCUCCGGCUUGCUUGAAUGUGAAGCCGCGAGAGUGUACGGAUCAGAGUGCCAAGUGGGCCAUUUUUGGUAAGCAGAACUGGCGCUGUGGGAUGAACCAAACGCCGAGUUAAAGCGCCUAAAAUAACGCUUAUGGGAUACCAUGAAAGGCGUUGGUAACUUAAGACAGCAGGACGGUGGCCAUGGAAGUCGGAAUCCGCCAAGGAGUGUGUAACAACUCACCUGCCGAAGUUACUAGCCCUGAAAAUGGAUGGCGCUAAAGCGUUAUGCUUAUACUCGGCCGUCAGAGGCAUGUGCGGUCGCCUUGUGCGUCCAUGAAGCCCUGAUGAGUAGGAGGGUCGCGAGGGUGAGCGCAGAAGGAUUGGCCGUGAGGCCGUCUGGAGCCGCCCUUGGUGCAGAUCUUGGUGGUAGUAGCAAAUACUCUAGCGAGAACCUGGAGAACUGAGGUGGAGAAGGGUUUCGUGUGAACAGCUUUUGCACACGAGUCAGUCGAUCCUAAGCCCUAGGCGAAUGCCGAUGUUGAUGUGACGCUGUUGAUCGUGUGGCUAGCGUAUGCCUUGUGUAUAUCGCUGAGCACGCUUGCACGUCCAUCGGGCGAAGGGAAUCCGGUUAAUAUUCCGGAACCCGGCAGCGGAACCGUCUUUAAACCGGGCCCUUGUAUAAGAGUUCGUCGGGGUAACCCGAAAGGACCCGGAGACGCCGUCGAGAGAUCCGGGAAGAGUUUUCUUUUCUGUAUGAGCGUUCGGGUUCCAUGGAAUCCUCUAGCAGGGAGAUAUGGAAUGGAACGCGAAGAGCACCGCAUUUACGGCGGUGUCCGGAUCUUCUCCUCGGACCUUGAAAAUCCGGGAGAGGGCCACGUGUAGGCGUCGCGCCGGCUCGUACCCAUAUCCGCAGC